AACCCGAAACAAAAGUGACGUCGGCGACCACGACAGCACGACCUGCCACUUGGCUCCGAUCUCUACACCUGCUCACUUCAUUCUCCAUGAACGAUUUAGCAUUGUCUUACACAGCCACGAAUUGCCUUUAUCGGGACACUCUUGCCUCAUGCGGAUGUAAGCCACCUAACACCGAAUUCUGCAGAGCGCAUGUGUUCGUGGAAGCAGGUCCAUACUGAGUGCCCUAUUUCCAAUCUCAGUACAUUCUCAAGAAGCUAUGGAUCCGAAACCCAGUGUAUUUUCAUUAUGUAUAAUUAAGGAAUAAGGCUGCUUAUUCUUUUGAAAGUUCUACUUUCGUUUUGUGUAUCUGUAUGUGUAUUUUUAUUUUGAGUAAUAGAGUGAACAAACUGUUGAA
rnacentral:lncRNA from 1 species